GGGGUUGCGGCGCGGCGGCGAGGACCAGACCGGGGGCGGGGCCGGUAGUGGGAGUGCGGGGCGCGCGGUGACAGCGCGGGGUUGGCGGCGUGGGACCCAGGGGGCGACAGAGGCAGCAGCAGCCCGAGGCCUGAGGAGAGGAGACCGGCGGCGGCGGCAAUGCUGGAGACCCUUCGCGAGCGGCUGCUGAGCGUGCAGCAGGAUUUCACCUCCGGGUCACUUUCAGCUGACAAACCACUGGACUGUCAGUGUGUGCCAUUAGCCUGUCACCUGGUGGAGAAACAACUCAUCUCCAAGUGAUGUCAGUCUCCCAGUAGACCCGGACCUCUAGUGCCUGAUGUUCACUUUCUUCAGGCUGAAGACUUUAAGUGACAAGUCAAGAGAAGCAAAAGUGAAAAGCAAACCCAGGACUGUUCCAUUUUUGCCAAAGUACUCUGCUGGAUUAGAAUUACUUAGCAGGUAUGAGGAUACAUGGGCUGCACUUCACAGAAGAGCCAAAGACUGUGCAAGUGCUGGAGAGCUGGUGGAUAGCGAGGUGGUCAUGCUUUCUGCGCACUGGGAGAAGAAAAAGACAAGCCUCGUGGAGCUGCAAGAGCAGCUCCAGCAGCUCCCAGCUUUAAUCGCAGACUUAGAAUCCAUGACAGCAAAUCUGACUCAUUUAGAGGCGAGUUUUGAGGAGGUAGAGAACAACCUGCUGCAUCUGGAAGACUUAUGUGGGCAGUGUGAAUUAGAAAGAUGCAAACAUAUGCAGUCCCAGCAACUGGAGAAUUACAAGAAAAAUAAGAGGAAGGAACUUGAAACCUUCAAAGCUGAACUAGAUGCAGAGCACGCCCAGAAGGUCCUGGAAAUGGAGCACACCCAGCAAAUGAAGCUGAAGGAGCGGCAGAAGUUUUUUGAGGAAGCCUUCCAGCAGGACAUGGAGCAGUACCUGUCCACUGGCUACCUGCAGAUUGCAGAGCGGCGAGAGCCCAUAGGCAGCAUGUCAUCCAUGGAAGUGAACGUGGACAUGCUGGAGCAGAUGGACCUGAUGGACAUAUCGGACCAGGAGGCCCUGGACGUCUUCCUGAACUCUGGAGGAGAAGAGAACACUGUGCUGUCCCCCGCCUUAGGUAGGGUUGACAAACUUGCAUUAGCUGAACCAGGGCAGUAUCGAUGCCACUCCCCUCCAAAGGUGAGACGUGAGAACCAUCUGCCAGUCACUUACGCAUAAACCCCCAAGCUCACAGCCAGCUCCUGGCUCCCUAACCCCACGGUUCCACACGGCUGUGUGGCAGCUGCAACAGUGGUGUGGUUCCGUCAUGAAUUCUUCUCAAAGAUUUGACAUGCUCCACUCCGGUAACUUUGGUGAGUUGAGAGCUUUCUUGUUUGUUUUCCCUCCUUUACCACCCAGAAAUCCAUUUGAGUCUGCUCCUUGUGGUUAAGGACUGGCGUUUGCAGGGAGGUGCGGACUCUCCUGCGGGGCUCACGGGAAACUCUUCCCUCUUCGUGCGACAGGCAUUUAGGGGCGUGCCUGCCAUGGGCAAAGCCAUGGUGUGUGUUCAGCUCUUGGCCUGUGUUGUAAACUUAGUUGCACUUCAGUUCCUUUCAUCCCUUCACAAAAUUUUGUUUCACAUUCAUGCAGCAAAUAUGGGCUGAGGUGCCAGACCUGUACCUGGGCUUGGUGCGUUUCAAAUUUCAGACCAGUUCUUUGGGCUGGGUCAAGGCAAAGCUCAGUCGUCCCAGCAGCACCUCAGCCAUCUGUAGAAGGUUCUACCAUUACCACGGUUUCAGCUUCCUCUAAACUUCUCACCCGCUUCUCCUGGCAAUCUGUCAGAACGGUGUCAUCCUGGGGAAGAGAAGGAGCUUGGGUGCAUUUGCCCUCAUCCUGAGAAGGCCAGAAUACUGGAGACCAGCGUGAACCCUCACCCAGAGUCAGGGGAAGAUUUAGAAACAGUGACACCUGCAUAUAGAAUUUUGAUUCCUUGAAGAGCCUAUUUAGUUCCAUAAAAUUGGAGAACUGCUGAAGGUCAGUAAUUCCGACUUUCUCAGCAGUGGUGUCUCUGAAUUACUGCAAA